GGGCAUGGUGUGCUUGUCUGAUGGACAGGGCAGCUUAGGGGAAUAAGUCUCUGCAGCGUUGUAGUGAAGAGAGAAUACGGGACAACUGCAGGACCACAGCUCAGCCAAGAGCUCCCUUGCAGCUGAGUUGGCCAUAUGACUGACAGCAAGCCCUGGAAUGCAGCCAGAAGUGAUAGAAGCCUCUUUCACACCAUGCUCCUAAAAUAUUCCAAGAAAUUUUCCAAACCUACUCUUUUUAGUCUGUGCAUCUGGAAGUGAAAGUUUUAGAAAGGGUAAAGUCACUUAAUGGAAAGGGCCCAGAUCUAGCCCCUCGGAGCCAAGCUGUCCAACUAGAAAUUCUGCAUUAGUAUUUGCGACAGAUCUUUGGAGAGAAAAUGCCAAGAGUGGAUGGAGAGGCAAUGGUGAAGCUGAGGCUGAAGUCGGAGGAAGCUGUGAACCCUGCAUGGGGUACCUGAACACCAGGGCAAGUUUCUGGCCCAGAAUGGCUUCUGGGAAAGGGCCUCUUUCAGUGGCAUCUCCAGGCACGGGAGCAAACCAGAUGAAUAGAGCCUGUAUUGAACCCCAAGCAAACCACAGCAGCCCUACAGAAGAGGGACCUGACCUUUGAAAGAAAAACAAACAAACAGAAAGCAACAACAACAGCAUCAACAACAACAAAAAAGUCCCCACAAAAACCCCAUCCAAGGGUUAGCAGCCUCAAAGAUCAAACCUGGACAAACUCAUGAAGAUGAGAAAGAAUCAAUGAAAAUAUGCUGAAACCCGUAAGGCCAGAGUGUCUCUUCUCCUCCAAAUGAUUGCAAUGUCUCUGCAGCAAGGGUGAAGAACUGAACGGAGGAUAAGAUGGGCAAAUUGACAGAAGUAGGCUUCAGGUGAUGAGUAAUAAGAAACUCCUCUUAGCUAAAGGAACAUGUUUUAACCCAAUGCAAAGAAGCUAAGAACCUUGAUAAAAGGUUAGGGGAGUUGCUAACUAGAAUAACCAGUUUGGAGAGGAACAUAAAUGACCUGGUGGAGCUGAAAAACACAGCACAAGAACUUCGAGACGCAUACACAAGUAUCAAUAGCCGAAUCAACCAAGUGAAAGAAAGGAUAUCAGAGUUUGAAGACCACCUUGCUGAAAUAAGGCAUGCAGACAAGAUUAGAGAAAAAAUAAUGAAACAGAA
ensembl:lncRNA LINC00499 long intergenic non-protein coding RNA 499